CCUACGGGUGGCUGCAGUGAGGAAUAUUGGGCAAUGGGCGCGAGCCUGAACCAGCCAAGUCGCGUGAAGGAUGACGGCCCUCCGGGUUGUAAACUUCUUUUAUAAGGGAGUACAGUGAGGCACGUGUGCAUUUUUGUAUGUACUUAAUGAAUAAGGAUCGGCUAACUCCGUGCCAGCAGCCGCGGUAAUACGGAGGAUACGAGGGUUAUACGGAUUUAUUGGGUUUAAAGGGAGCGUAGAUGGGUUGUUAAGUCAGUUGUGAAAGUUUGCGGCUCAACCGUAAAAUUGCAAUUGAUACUGGCAGCCUUGAGUACAGUUGAGGUAGGCGGAAUGCGUGGUGUAGCGGUGAAAUGCUUAGAUAUCGGGCAGAACUCCGAUGGCGAAGGCAGCAUGCCGGCUCCACACUGACGCUGAGGCACGAAAGCGUGGGUAUCGAACAGGAUUAGAUACCCCAGUAGUC
rnacentral:rRNA from 1 species